rnacentral:rRNA from 1 species
GAUGAACGCUAGCGGCGGGCUUAAUACAUGCAAGUCGAACGGUAACAGGUCUUCGGACGCUGACGAGUGGCGCACGGGUGCGUAACGCGUACACAACCUACCCUAAAGAGGGGGAUAGCUCCGGGAAACUGGGAAUAAUACCCCAUAGUACUACUAAGUUGCAUAAUUUGGUAGUUAAAGGUUUACUGCUUUAGGAUGGGUGUGCGAGCCAUUAGGUAGUUGGAGAGGUAACGGCUCACCAAGCCGACGAUGGCUAGCUGGUCUGAGAGGAUGAUCAGCCACACGGGCACUGAGACACGGGCCCGACUCCUACGGGAGGCAGCAGUAAGGAAUAUUGGUCAAUGGGCGAAAGCCUGAUCCAGCCACGCCGCGUGCAGGAUGACGGUCCUAUGGAUUGUAAACUGCUUUUGUCGGAGACGAAAGUGUAUGAUUUAUCAUAUUUUGACGGUAUCUGGCGAAUAAGCACCGGCUAACUACGUGCCAGCAGCCGCGGUAAAG